CUGGAGCCCCUCCAGUGGAGGAUCAGGAUGCCAGCCAGAGACCAGGGAGUUUAACUUGGCCAAGAAGAAGCUUGGCGGGGUCUGAUAAUAACUGUAAUAGUCAGCCAUCAUCGUGUAGAAACCACACCUAAACCUAGCGUCUUCCCACAAUAACCGUUUGCUCAUAACUCCUCCACAGUGGGGCCAGGAGGCUUUUCUCUGUCUGGUGUGGGUUUCUGCACAUCGGAGGCAUGUGGGACAUCCAGGGACCGCUCUACCUCAUUUUCCUUCCUUGUCCUUUACAGGCUUCUCAUCCACAGGAUGGCAGACUGAACAUGGCUUCUCAGGGCAUCAGAUCAGUGGGGGAGACUGCUCUAGGGCCCUCUGUGCCUGUACUCAGAAUUCCUGUGGUCUUCUAUGUCACCAAGUAAGUCCCCAAACAAGCCAAAGGACAACAGAGAAAGUGAGUACCCCAAAAUUCAGGAAUAGAACUGCUUAGGGGCUGGUUUAUAGCAGUCCAUCAAAAUAGCUAAUAUUUAGAGUUCACAAAGAACAGUUAUGCAUGCUUGAUCUUGACAAUGAAACCAAAUUACAGUUAGCGGUACUAGAAAACCCAAACCAGAAGAUCUUCCUAAUUUGUAGCACUUACCAAUAUCCAUAGUGCAAACACUGCUACAAUGACAAUUUUAAACAAAUAUUAAUUUAAAUUUUAUUUUCUGUGUAUGAAUAUAUGUAUGUGCACUAUAAAUGGAACCCACAGAGACCAGAGGACAGUGCCAAAUUCCCUAUAACUGGGGUUACAGACAGUUAUAGGGAAAAAAGUGAAUGAGUGCUUUCACCAGAGGCCUCCAGGAAGGCUCAGCUCCAGGAGACAAAACCCAGGCAAACAAUCAGCUUAAAGGAAGCUUCCCUUGAGGCCUGGGGAGAGAUGCGUGGGGCUGAGAAAACUUUUCCAGGCUGUGGGAAGAGCUGCUGUGGACUCUGAACUUAUCCUUGCUCCUUCCUGAACACCAUUUCGAGAACAUCUCUGGUGCGGAUGUUAACCAGACGAACCGUACAAGCCAUGCACCUCCAAGUGGAGGUUCCUCUGGCUGUUCUGAAACUUCGGGGAACAGAAUGACUUUUUCAGGACUCUGGCUUUUCAGGUGAGACAGUUCCUGAUGAUGCUUUUUGGAGUAAGGGCUGAACAGGCACCAGGUACUGGUUUCUCAUGUGCUCCUUGUUAGUCACACCUCAC
rnacentral:lncRNA from 1 species